CCAGCGUCUUGGUGACCAAAGUGCAGACUCAACAAUGGCACCAACUGAAAGCUUCUCAGCAGUCAAAAAAAAAAAAGUUUUAGCAUCUUGGCUCACCUCAGAACGUUGAUCAUGACGUCAUGUUCGCUCCACCACCUGCAACAACAAACAGUCUUUUUAAAUGUCUUUUCCGACAGAAGGAUUAGUGGCGAAAAAGAUCAAUGGUACUUGAGCCUGUCCACCGUCUUCCUGGAGGGGAUGCCGAUUCAGAUUUUCUGGUGCCAACAGCUGCUUUGGCGCCGCCUAGUGGACAUGAGCAGAAAGACAUUAGUACAGGAUGUGAAAUUUACCUUUUUAAACUGAAUCUGCAAAAGAGAAAAUGUGUUAAAAAUGGUCACGUCAGCCAUCUUGUUUUGCUGCAUGCUCAAACCCAGCAGACUGCCUCAUUCGCUGUCGUCUUAUUCCUCAGGCAGCUCUGGAUGAACACUGGAUGCCGUUUGACCUGCGCACACACAAAAAGGAUGUCAGAAAGAGUGAAUUGUAGUUAUUUGCGAUGUCCUUACCUUCCUUCAGUUUUGUCCAGGAGCAAAACAGCAACUUGAGGCCGGACUCUCAGCUUUCUUUUAAGACGUCUGGGGAGUGCAGUUUGCAAUGAGGUAGUGUGAAGCACCAAAUUUUGGAAAAAAAUUAAGAAAAUUGCACACUUUUUGUUUUUGGUUCCAACCUGAAUCACGUCAUAAUUCGAAGCCUCCUGUAAGCUCAUCUUCAUGUGCUGAAAAAUUAAAACAUGAUUUCAGA